AGCGAACGCUGGCGGCAGGCCUAACACAUGCAAGUCGAACGAACUCUUCGGAGUUAGUGGCGGACGGGUGAGUAACACGUGGGAACGUGCCUUUUGGUUCGGAAUAACUCAGGGAAACUUGUGCUAAUACCGAAUGUGCCCUUCGGGGGAAAGAUUUAUCGCCAUUAGAGCGGCCCGCGUCUGAUUAGCUAGUUGGUGAGGUAACGGCUCACCAAGGCGACGAUCAGUAGCUGGACUGAGAGGAUGACCAGCCACACUGGGACUGAGACACGGCCCAGACUCCUACGCGAGGCAGCAGUGGGGAAUCUUGCGCAAUGGGCGAAAGCCUGACGCAGCCAUGCCGCGUGAAUGAUGAAGGUCUUAGGAUUGUAAAAUUCUUUCACCGGGGACGAUAAUGACGGUACCCGGAGAAGAAGCCCCGGCUAACUUUGUG
rnacentral:rRNA from 1 species